CACGAAACAGACAGGCUCCCGGCAGCAACAGGAGCAGGACCGAUGGCACAGCGAAACCACGAGGUUGGAGAAAUCCAGCAGUCGGCAAACGCAAAAAAAACGGAGAGCAAGCCAGGAGACCGGACCACGUGGAUACGGGUGAGUGUAACUCGGCAGACCAAUUACCGUGGUAGAGGAUUGGAUGCCCUUAUGAAGGGGACCAAAGCCCCUUCCACAACUAC